rnacentral:tRNA from 1 species
GCCCAGGUGGUGGAAUUUGGUAGACACGCAUGGUUGAGGGCCAUGUGGGAAUAAUCCUGUGCGGGUUCAAGUCCCGCCCUGGGCACAA